AAUAAAUUCUAUCAAUAGGUCAAAAGAAAAAAGCAUAAAAAUAAACCUCUCCUUCCAUUGUGGGACUGAAUUGAAUACAACGCGCGUUGUUUAAACCAACAACUCUGCACUGCACGACCAAGUUUAAUCAUUUUUGUGUGGGUCCAAGUAUCCGUCGACUCGAUAAAAGGGCUAAGUACAUACAUACAACAGCUCUCGCAUCCGUUACCGCAACACACCCCGAGUAUCACAACGACUGAGGGCGGGGAGAAAGAGAGAAGGAGAAGGAGAAGGAGUAGGAGAAGGAGACGAGGAGAAAGAUCGAGUAGAGAGGGAACGAGAGAAAUCACAGAGGAAAACUAAGACUGGGUGAGAGCGAAGAGUCAAAGUGCGAGGCGAACGUGGAAACUGUUAUGAGAAGAGGAAAUUUUUUAAAAUAACAAAAGGAAGAGGUGAAGAAAAGAGAGAGAAAAAAAAACAGUAAGGCAAAAGUUAAUUCAACGAGUAGAAGAAAGACGAGAGAGAGAGAGAGAGAGAGAGAGAGAGAGAAAAUACGGACGGUAGAAACGAUCGAACGAAAUAGGGAGGAAAAGAUAAAGGUAAAAGAAAACGCGAAGAAGAAGACGAAGACAUGAGAAGAAAAGAACCAAGUUGAAAUCACUCCGAGAGGUAGUAGCCGAGUCCGGGGGAUUUGGGAGCGUGCGAGACGAAAGAAAGAUAGAAGAGGGACGAAGAGGAGAGAAUAACGCCGGGCGAACGAAUCAAGAAUAAAGCUUCGAGAUUUUUAUUUUUAUUUCCCAAAAUUAGAAUCCCUUAACCCUUAAUCCAGCCACAACCUAAAUCACUCGUUCACUCGUUCUGUAAUCCGAUUAUUGACCGUGGAAAUUCGAUAUCAACGCAAAGACCGUCUUUAUUACAAGUUUCGAGGUGUGGAAGAA